rnacentral:rRNA from 1 species
UACGAAGGGGGCUAGCGUUGUUCGGAAUCACUGGGCGUAAAGGGCGCGUAGGCGGCCAUAUAAGUCGGGGGUGAAAGCCUGUGGCUCAACCACAGAAUUGCCUUCGAUACUGUAUGGCUCGAGUCCGGGAGAGGUGAGUGGAACUGCGAGUGUAGAGGUGAAAUUCGUAGAUAUUCGCAAGAACACCAGUGGCGAAGGCGGCUCACUGGCCCGGAACUGACGCUGAGGUGCGAAAGCGUGGGGAGCAAACAGG